rnacentral:sRNA from 1 species
GCUGGAUGUGGUGGCGCACGCCUGUAAUUCCAGUAGCUCAGGAGGCUGAAGCAGGAGGAUCGCAAAUUCAAAGCCAGCUUCAG